UCAUCUUCUCCAUUGUCGAAACUGGAGAAAGAAGAAAAAGAGAAAAGCUUGGCUAAGGUUCGGCCAUUGGGAGUUAGAUUAAGGUUAGUCUUUUGUUUGGUUUUUGAUAAUUUUCACAUUUUUGAUAUCAUUGCUUUGUGUUCUUUAAAACCCAUGGUUCAAUUUUGUGAAUUGAUGAUGAUUUUGUGUUUUGCCAUUGAUGAGUGCUUGAGCUUUUUGAUAGUUGUUGAUGAAAAAUGAAAGAUAUGUUAAAGAUUAAUAUGUUUUGUGUUGAAGUUUUUGGUGAUUUUGAGUAGUUAGGGCUAAAUUACAAAAAUAAAUUUUUGAAGGACUCAAAGGUGAAAUAAAUGAAAUGUAUGGACUUAUAUGGGUACUAGGAAGAUUCGGCCCUUAAGGAGUGUGACCAAAUUUUGUGUAUUUUGUGUUUUGUGGAAUAAAGACUAAAUUGUGAAAGUGCGAAAUAUUAGGGGUAAAAAUGUAAUUUACCCAUUUAUGCGUUAUUAGACUAAAUUGAAUGAAAAUAUGUUAAAAUGAGAUUUAUUUGAAUAUGUUAAGAUCAAGAAACCAAGAAAUUGGAUUUAGAUCGGGGAAAAUCGAAAGUAGUUGAGUAGCCGAUCAAUUAGUCGACGACAUCCGAAGAAAGUUUAUAAGCAAUUAGAUAUUAAAAUUUCGGAAUAAAUGUUAGUUAUAUAUGCUGAAAUGGAAAUAUGAUAAAUGUAUAUAUAGCUGAAUGUGAUAUGUGUGAAUUAUAUGUUAAAUUAAGGCUUGGUAAGCUAGCUAUUAAGGUGAAAUGCUAAUGUUAGUAUUUGAUUUGGUAAUAAUCUGUUUGGGGACAGCAGCAGUAAGGUGAUUUUGGAAAAUCGCCAUAAUUUGUAGGAGUUGAAUUAGAAGCUGAGUGAAUUAUGUCAUUAAAGCUUGAAGAGUCUAUUUUCUUACAAAAGAAACUAUAAAAACAAAAGAGUUACCGAUCUUGAGAUAUUUGAAGUAUUGUGGGGCUGAGUCAAAAUGACUACUAGAUUCCCUGUUCUGUUUUUAGAAAAUCAUUAUAAAUUGUCCAAAAAUGAUUAUAAGAUAAAAUUUAUAUGCUUAGACUCCUUAAUGAGUCUAGUUUCAAAUGAGAUCAAAUACAACACAUUUUGAAUUCUGUAAAAUGAGAAAUUUGAUUCGUAGUGAAGAGUGGUCAGAAUAGUCAAACAGUGAAACAGGGGAAACUUUAAGAAAAAUCUGGUAUUGAUUGGCCAAGCCUAAAAUUCUGAAAAUUUUAUGGAUGGAAGAUAUACGAGUCUAUAUUCAGGGAAAAUUAACGGAAAGUGAUUUGGAGUUUAGUAGCUCCAGUUAUAAAUAAUUUAGUAACUACUGCUCAGGAAAAUAGCUCGUAGUGAAUAUGUGAUUUUGUUGUAAACAUUAAUGAAAAUUUGCCAAUGAAUUAUUUAUUGAUUAUUAUAAAGCUUACUAUAAUCUAUGUGUGUGAAAGUCGGAUCAAUAUAUAUAUUAUUCUGAAAGUAAUACUUGAAUAGUCGAUUAAUGACUAUUUUAAAUUUUGUUGAACUUAAGCUCAAGAGCAAAGGGGAACUAGAUCCGAUAAAGGGAAGGAAAAAGUAAUUGAAUAGCCAUUGAAGUCGUUCGACAACAUCUGAGGUAAGUCUUCGAGUAAUGACCCUACUUGAAUUAUAUUGAAAUGAUUAGUCAUACUAUGAUGGAUAGUCGAAUGUGCAUAGAGACUAUGUUAUAAAGCCAAUUGAAAUCAUGCUCUUUGUGUGUGGCUAUUGAGCCGAAAUUGGAAAGGUUUAAUAAAUGCUUUGUGUUUGAGCCUUAGUAACGAAAGUGAAAUAUGGAUGUGUCAUGAUUGUUGAUAUAUGUGUGCAUGAGCAUUUGAAUGAUAUCCGGGCUAAGAACCGAAGGCAUUUGUGCGAAUUGAUAUAUCCGGGCUAAGACCCGAAGGCAUUUGUGCGAAUUGAUAUAUCCGGGCUAAGACCCGAAGGCAUUUGUGCGAAUUGAUAUAUCCGGGCUAAGACCCGAAGGCAUUUGUGCGAAUUGAUAUAUCCGGGCUAAGACCCGAAGGCAUUUGUGCGAAUUGAUAUAUCCGGGCUAAGACCCGAAGGCAUUUGUGCGAAUUGAUAUAUCCGGGCUAAGACCCGAAGGCAUUUGUGCGAAUUGAUAUAUCCGGGAUAAGACCCGAAGGCAUUUGUGCGAAUUGAUAUAUCCGGGCUAAGACCUGAAGGCAUUUGUGCGAAUUGAUAUAUCCGGGCUAAGACCUGAAGGCAUUUGUGCGAAUUGAUAUAUCCGGGCUAAGACCCGAAGGCAUUUGUGCGAUUUGAUAUAUCCGGGAUAAGACCCGAAGGCAUUUGUGCGAAUUGAUAUAUCCGGGAUAAGACCCGAAGGCAUUUGUGCGAACUGAUAUAUCCGGGCUAAGACCCGACGACAUUUGUGCAAAUUGAUAUAUCCGGGCUAAGACCCGAAGGCAAUUGUGCAAGUUGAUAUAUCCGGGCUAAGACCCGAAGGCAUUCGUGCGAGUUGCUAUACCCGGGUUAAGACCCGAAGGCAAUUGAGCUUGUGGUUAUAUCCGGCUAAAUUCCGAAGAAACUUGGGUUUGAAUGUGAGUGUUUUGUGCUGCAAUAAAUUCAAUUAAUACGCUCGAUAAACCCAAACGAUAAGGUAUGUUUGCAUGUGCUUCGAAAAAAAAAGUCGAUUCGCUUUAAAUAAUAUUCGUUCAAUCGACUAACGAAUUUUCAGCUUUUAGAUAGGUUGAUACCUUGUGUGUGUAUAUGUUGAUGAAGUGUGAAGUAAGUAUGCUUAUGAGAAUGUGAAUUAAUAAAGUGAUUUAUUUAGCUAUGUGAAUGCAAUACUUUAGUCAAAGCCGAUUUCAUUACUUGAAACUUACUAAGCUUUAAAAUGCUUGCCCUGUUGCUUUGGCUCUCUGUUUUAUAGAUAUUGUUCGUUAGCUAUCGGAUUCGGGAUCAUCGAAGUCGAAGUCAUCCACACUAUCAAAGCUCUUUUGGUACUCUUUUAGUUGAACUCUGGAUAUGGCAUGUAUAGGACUACCCG
rnacentral:lncRNA from 1 species